ensembl:snRNA U6 U6 spliceosomal RNA
GUGCUUGCUAUGGCAGCUCAUAUACUAAAAUUGGAACUAUACAGAAAUGAUUAGAACAGCUCCUGUGCAAAGACUGAAUGAUAAUUCAUAAAUCAUUCCAUAUUUUG